GGUCCCAAGGGUUGGGCUGUUCGCCCAUUAAAGCGGUACGCGAGCUGGGUUUAGAACGUCGUGAGACAGUUCGGUCCCUAUCCGCCGCGCGCGUAGGAGUCUUAAGGAAGGCUGUCCCUAGUACGAGAGGACCGGGACGGACGAACCUCUGGUGUGCCAGUUGUUCCGCCAGGAGCACGGCUGGUUGGCUACGUACGGGAGGGAUAACCGCUGAAAGCAUCUAAGCGGGAAGCCUGUUUUAAGAUGAGGUUUCUUUUGAGGUGCCCAGGAGACGACUGGGUUGAUAGGCCGGAACUGGAAGCACUGCAAGGUGUGGAGGUGAC
rnacentral:rRNA from 11 species